UGUGCUGUCAAGAAAUAGUAACAUAAAUAUAAAUGAAAAUAUUUAUAUUAAUCAUGGUCCAUUUUUCCCAUGACAAAUAUGGACAAGACUGGACAUGGGAACUCUAUUCCCAAGGGCGUUCCCAGAACACAUUAUCGAACACAGUUAUUACAAGGAACUAAUUUGCCCAUAUAGAUGUAGCAGUCACAAAACUGAAUUCUCUGUGAAGGCUCAGACGGUACAACUAAGAAAAGCUCACACCGAGGAGAUUUAGAAAGUGUGUUGAUGGGCUAGAGCAUCAUCUGCCCGUGUUUACAAAAAUAAGGUGGUUUUUACUGGUCAGCUAAUGAAAAGUAAUCCCAUCAGCAAGCUUUUCCUAGGAGGGCAGAAGCUAGGGUGCACCCAGAGCCCAAGUCUCUGAACAUCAACUGACGCACAAGGUGCAAAAUAAUCAAGAAGCCUUUGUUAAUAGGCAUCAUUCUGAAUAGUCAUCUUUUUAAAAUAGGCACCGGGGUGGCUCAGUUGGUUAAGCAUCCGACUCUUGAUUUUUGGCUCAGGUUGUGAUCCUGCGUCCUGAGGUUGAGCCCUAGGACAGGCUCCCCAGUCAGUGUGGAGUCUGCUUCAGAUGGUUUCCCCCUCUCUACUCCUCUCCACUGGCUCCCUCCCUCUCUCUCUUUCUCUCAAAGAAAGAAAUAAAUAAAAUCUUUGAAAACAAAAUAAAAUAGGUAAUACAUGAACAAAGUGUUAAAAAAAAAAAAAAGUCAAGCCAUGCAGGAUUAUAGAAGCACACAUGUUCACACGUGCACACAGAGUCCGAUUUGCCUCUAUCCACUGUCCUCCUGCUACCCAGGAGGACAGUCCUCCUCAAAGGUGCUGUUCUUGUCUAUCCUUUCAGAGAUGAUCAGCGCAGUCUCCCUCACUUCUAAAUUUGGUAAUUCCGCUGUACUUGGGAUUUUGACAAGUUUUCCACCUGCUAAGAAAGGGUGUCCUGAAGCCCGUGUCUUCCUAAAUUGAGAGCUAAAGGAAAAGGAAAUGCAAGAGACCAAAGAGAUCCUUGUCACAAGAAACAAAGGACACUGGGGAAAAAAGGCAUGAAAGGAAAAGAGCACAAGCAGGGGAAGCGGCAGAGGGAGAGAAGCAGGCUCCCUGCUGAGUAGAAAACCCAAGGACUAUGAUGCUGGGCUCAAUCCCAGCACCCUGGGAUCAUGACCUGAGCAGAGGGCAGACUCUUAACCAACUAAGCCACCCAGGCACCCCUUAGGUACUGUUUAAAGGAAAUGGUUAUUGUUGUCUUUUAACUGUUUCUUACUUCCAAUUCUACCCCAGCAUUUGUUUUUCAUUGAAAUGUAAUUAACAUAAAACCAUUUGAGUAUUUAUUUGUUAAUAAUGUAUAAGGAUUUAAAAUUUAUUUUUUAAAUUCCAGUACAAUUAACAUACAAUGUUAUAUUAGUUCCAGGUGUACAAUAUGGUGAUUCAGCAGUUCUGUGCUUUACUCGGUGCUUAUCACAAUAAGCGUACCCUAAUGCCCCUCACCUACUCGACCCAUUCCCCCGACCCACCUUCUCUCUGGUACCCAUCAGUUUGUUGUCUACAAUUAAGAGUCUGUUUUUUUGUUUGCAUCUUUUUGAAUUUGUUCAUUCGUUUUGUUUCUUAAAUUCCACAUCUGAGCGAAACCGUA